rnacentral:rRNA from 1 species
UACGUAGGGUCCAAGCGUUAUCCGGAAUCACUGGGCGUAAAGCGUGCGUAGGCGGCCUGUUAAGUGUGAUGUUAAAUCGUGUGGCUCAACCAUAUCGAUGCAUCACAUACUGGCAUGCUAGAGGGAAGCAGAGGCAAGUGGAAUUGGUAGUGUAGCAGUGAAAUGCGUAGAUAUUAGCAGGAACACCAAUGGCGAAGGCAGCUUGCUGGGCUUCUUCUGACACUGAGGUACGAAAGCGUGGGGAGCGAACAGG